rnacentral:rRNA from 1 species
GAUGAACGCUGGCGGCGUGCUUAACACAUGCAAGUCGAACGGUGAACGAGGGAGCUUGCCCCCUCCGGAUCAGUGGCGAACGGGUGAGUAACACGUGAGCAAUCUGCCCUGGACUCUGGGAUAAGCGUUGGAAACGACGUCUAAUACCGGAUACGAGACGCGAAGGCAUCUUCAGCGUCUGGAAAGAACUUCGGUCCAGGAUGAGCUCGCGGCCUAUCAGCUAGUUGGUGAGGUAACGGCUCACCAAGGCGACGACGGGUAGCCGGCCUGAGAGGGUGACCGGCCACACUGGGACUGAGACACGGCCCAGACUCCUACGGGAGGCAGCAGUGGGGAAUAUUGCACAAUGGGCGCAAGCCUGAUGCAGCAACGCCGCGUGAGGGACGACGGCCUUCGGGUUGUAAACCUCUUUUAGCAGGGAAGAAGCGAAAGUGACGGUACCUGCAGAAAAAGCACCGGCUAACUACGUGCCAGCCGCCGCAGUAACAC